rnacentral:rRNA from 1 species
UACAGAGGUCCCGAGCGUUGUUCGGAUUCACUGGGCGUAAAGGGUGCGUAGGUGGCCAGGUAAGUUUGAUGUGAAAUCUUCGAGCUCAACUCGGAAACUGCAUUGAAUACUAUCUUGCUUGAGGAUUGGAGGGGAGGCUGGAAUUCUCGGUGUAGCAGUGAAAUGCGUAGAUAUCGAGAGGAACACCAGUGGCGAAGGCGAGUCUCUAGACAACUCCUGACACUGAGGCACGAAAGCUAGGGGAGCAAACAGG